CUUCUGCUUGUUCCGGUAGUUUAGACGCCGUCACUACAGUGAAAACAUACAGAGAAGAAGAAGAGGGACUAAUUAAUAAUAAUAAUAAUAAUAGUAAUAUACAGUCUCUGAGGAGGCUUCUGGUUCAUUAGCAGUGAGAAGAGAAGUGACAUUUGGGCAGCUGGAGGAGCACACGUGGUAUUUAGCACGAGGACAAACAGCUGACAGCAGAAAUCAGGAUUUUGUGGAUUUUCCCAGAUGGAAACUUUAACGUUAAUGUGGGACAGAAGUUUUCAAAGCGGAGCUGAAGUUGUUUUCUGCUGGACAGAGACGACAGAAAUGAGGCGACGGGCUUUCAGGCAUGUGGACAGCAGACAGGUGCGUGACCUUUGACCCCAGGAGGGGGCGACGUGGAGCAACAAAAGAACUCAGCAGAGACAGAAAUGAUGCGACGGGCUUUCAGGCAGCUUUUCUUCUCAGCACGUGGACAGCAGACAGAGACGACAGAAAUGAGACGACGGGCUUUCAGGCAGCUUUUAUUCUCAACAUGUGGACAGCAGACAGGUGCGUGACCUUUGACCCUGCAGGAGUCUGUUCAGUAGAUCAGCAACAACAACAACAACAACAAGGGGGCGACGUGGAGCAAUAAAUUAAAACCCCAGAACAACUCGGCAGGUAAAAAAAUCAACAACAA